rnacentral:rRNA from 1 species
GAUGAACGCUGGCGGCGUGCCUAACACAUGCAAGUCGAGCGAGAUGUAUAUGGACGAAACUUCGGUCUAGGAAAUAUAUUGACAGCGGCGGACGGGUGAGUAACGCGUAGGCAACCUGCCCUUAACACAGGGAUAGCCUCGGGAAACCGGGAUUAAAACCUGAUAAUGCCAAACAGUCAGAUUGCUGGUUGGCCAAAGAUUUAUCGGUUAAGGAUGGGCCGGGGUCUGAUUAGUUCGUUGGUGGGGUAAGGGCCUACCAAGACUACGAUCAGUAGCCGACCGGAGAGGGUGAUCGGCCACAUUGGAACUGGGACACGGUCCAAACUCCUACGGGAGGCGGCAGUGGGGAAUAUUGCACAAUGGGCGAAAGCCUGAUGCAGCAACGCCGCGUGAGAGAUGAAGGACUUUGGGUCGUAAAGCUCUGUCCUUGGGGAAGAAACAAAUGACGGUACCCAAGGAGGAAGCCCCGGCUAACUACGUGCCAGCAGCCGCCGUAACAC